GACGAACGCUGGCGGCGUGGAUUAGGCAUGCAAGUCGAACGGUAUCAUCCUUUCGGGGGUGAGAGAGUGGCGAACUGGUGAGUAACACGUAGGUUAUCUACCCUCAAGACGGGGACAACCCAGGGAAACUUGGGCUAAUACCGGAUGUGAGCAACUUUUAGUUGUUUGAAGGGUGGCGUAAGCUGUCGCUUGGGGAUGAGCCUGCGUCCUAUUAGUUAGUUGGUGAGGUAACGGCUCACCUAGGCAAUGAUAGGUAGGCGGCCUUAACGGGUGGUCGCCCACACUGGGAUUGAGAUACGGCCCAGACUCCUACGGGAGGCAGCAGUCGAGAAUAGUCUACAAUGGUCGGAAGACUGAUAGUGCGACGCCGCGUGAACGAUGAAUCCCUUCGGGGUGUAAAGUUCUUUUAUAUGUGAGCAGUGCUUCUUAUAUUAACAGUAUGGGGAAGAGAUAUUAGCAUAUGAAUAAGCAACGGCUAAACUCCGUGCCAGCAGCCGCGGUAAUACG
rnacentral:rRNA from 1 species